rnacentral:lncRNA from 1 species
AGCACAUACUAGUAAAAUUACUUAUAACCAAAGCUUCAAGGGAAAUAUUGAGAGUAGACAGUGAGAAAAGGCACAGUACACUGAAAGAACACAGUGACAACUCACUGCUGACAACUUACAAAUCCAGGAGUCAAUGGAAUAACAUUUUUUUUAAGUGUUAGGGUUUUAUAUCCACCAAAAUUUCUCCCAAAGCAAAGGUGAAAUAAAUGAUUGCUGACAAAAAGAAACUCAAGAAAUUGAUUGCUAUCAUUCUUAUACUAAAAUAAAUACUGAAGAGAAUUCUUGGGACAAGAAUAAUGGGUGUCUGAGGUUGGGCCCUGCUUACAAGUUCCCUCUGUCAAGUGCAAGGCCUUUGGGUCAAAGACAAAAGCAGCCAGAGGAAUAUGUAGUGCUUCCAAGAGACCCAGUUCCCCCAGGACAAUGCAAUAAGUACUGAAGACAGUGCAGUGCUGGUAGGAUCACUGCUGGUAUAGAUUGAUGGAAAGGGAGAGUCCAGAGGAACCCUUUAUAUUUAUGGUCUGUUGAUAUUUAACAACAUUGCCAAGACAAUUCACUAGAGGAAAAAAAGACUCUUUUCCACAGAUGGUGCUGUGACAAUAGUUAUCCAUGUUCACAAAUACAGAGUUGGACUCCUUCUCACAACAGGUACAAAUAUUAACUCAAAAUGGAUCAAAUACUUAAAUUUAAAUAUAAAAAAUAUUUUUUACACUGAGUUAGGCAAUGCCUUGAUGGUGGCACAGCCUUUUCCCCCUGCAGCAGGAGUCACCUUCAUCCCUCAGUUGUGAAAAGCCAAGUGCAUCCCCAGUGGAGGGUGCAUAUGGGACCAAGGGUUCAAAGCUUCCAGUUUCUGUUGCCCUGCCAGACCUUGUGAUACACAGAUGAUACACAGUCCAGCAGCCUAAUGGUCUGUGGAGCAAAGUGAAGCAUUUAAUAUUCAGUUUAGCUAUUGCUGAGUGAUCACCCAAGUGAUGUUUGAGACUGACAUCCCACAGUAGGAGCAAAAAAUGUUGGAGAAAUGGAAACAGUCUAUUUCAGAAAGCCAGGCACAUCCUGAUCUCAGUAUUGUGUGGUCUGUCCCUGUAUGUCUGUUUGUAAUAAAACAUUCUUUAUCAAAAGCUAUUCUUGCAGUGUUUUUUCUGUUAAUAAAAAUGAUACACAUUCUAAAAGAAAUUUUUAGAAAAUAUGAAUAGAAAAAAUACCUCAUAAUCUUACUGCUCAACAAUACACAUUUCUAAGAUUUUGGGUGCAUUUCUUCAUAUGUAUAUGGGGAGAUAAAUAUAUGGAUUUUACCAUUUAAUAUUUCAAAUACACAAUUUGUUUAUUAUUUUUUUUAAUAAAGAACACCUUUAUUGAUUUCCUGAUCAGGAUACCUUGAAUUUCCCUGUCUAAUCCAUCCUGAC